rnacentral:rRNA from 1 species
AUACGGAGGGUGCAAGCGUUAUCCGGAAUCAUUGGGUUUAAAGGGUCCGUAGGCGGAUUGGUAAGUCAGUGGUGAAAGUCUGCAGCUUAACUGUAGAAUUGCCGUUGAUACUGCUAGUCUUGAAUUACUGUGAAGUGAUUAGAAUGUGUAGUGUAGCGGUGAAAUGCAUAGAUAUUACACAGAAUACCAAUUGCGAAGGCAGAUCACUAACAGUAUAUUGACGCUGAGGGACGAAAGCGUGGGGAGCGAACAGGAUUAGAUACCCUUGUAGUCC